AAGUCGUAACAAGGUAACCGUAGGUGAACCUGCGGUUGGAUCAUUAGUGAUGUUAUGUCUGCCAUGUCUCGGAGUUGAUUCCUGGGAGCGAGUACUCUGGGGUGUCCUAUGGGGUGUCCUCUGAGGUGUCCUCUGAGGCGUGGUAAACUUACAACUGUGCAGUGUGUCUGUGCCAGUGUGUGGUUCAACCGAUCGACUGCACAUGUCUGUGUGUGGUUAGACCGAUUGACCAACCGCACAUUACUUGAAACCAACUUUGAAUUCAUUCUUAUUUUUUGUUUUGAUUUAUAAACAACUUUUGACAACGGAUCUCUUGGCUCUC
rnacentral:misc_RNA from 1 species